CCCAUUCCAGAUGGAAAUGAAAGGUCUUUGUAGAGAGUUCAGGAUGAUCAUCUUAUGGCUAAAUAUAAACUCUAUUUAAGCCUCGAUUUUUCCUGAGAUUUCUUCCACUGCAACCAGAAGUGAAGCCUUCUUAGCCCAUGAAAGGCCUCACUCACAUCAAUGGCUUUUCUGAUGGUCCUAGAGAAAGUUUGGCCUGUUUGUGUCUUGAGAUGUCUAACAUAUGAACAUUUUUCUUGCAUUUUAUUGAGGACUAGAGCACUCUCAGACUUUUCAAAGCUUCCAAUGAUGUCUUCUCCCAACUCUCCAAAGGUGAAAGAAAAUGUAAUAACUUUGCACAAAGGACCUGAGGACAAAGGUAAAUGACAACUCCGUUCUUAAAUACAAACAAAAAGCAAACCCCUUUUCUUCCCAAAUUUCAACCAAAUGCCCACUUCAGUGACAUGGCACUGAAUACUGGUGCCCUCCACAGGACAAAAACAAAAUCAACAGGAUAUUGCCGAUCACUGUGCAGCAUGCUCUGACAGGACUUCUCUGUUUCGAUUGAUGAAUUGUCUCCCCUAAGUAAAAGGAGAAAGCACAAUGUAUUCUUUCUAAUCCAUCAUGACAUUUUGGAUCAAGAUUACCAUUGGUCUCACAAUUAUGUAUAUGAGAUUUAAUUUGUGGAAUAUGCUGGGCUUAUACAGCAUAUUGGGUCCUGGGAAAUAUGAAUUUGUGCAAUAGGAUUUUAGGCACUGGAGGCUUUAUGGGGUUUAUGAAGCAGUUGUUAGAUAAGCUUGAGGCAUCACUGACUUUUUCACUUCUGUCUUGCCCUGGUGCAGAUUGAAAGCUAGGCCUGGUUACUAAUUCCGUUGUAUCCUCUGCUGGCCAGGAACUGCUCCAAGAAGACAGGGUAAAAAGUUGUUACCCUUGAAAGGGAGAUCUGCAACUGUCACCUGGAUCUCCUUGGGGAAUCCCAGUGCCUACAGUCAAGAGGCCCACCUCAUGACCACCCAGAACCUGCCUCAGAAAAAUCCUCCAUAUCUUUUGGCCCAGAACAAUCUCAAACCAAGAUCUAUUGACACAAUGCAGCCAAGAGGAUAUGAGCACUAUCAUUACCAGGAGGCGCUGGAGAUGGAUUGGCCAUGUGCUUCGGAUGGAAACUGAUUCCAUCAUCAGAGUAGCAAUAAGAUGGACAUCUGAAGGCAAGCGAAAAUGAGGCCACCCGAAAACAACAUGGCAAAGAGCUGUGGAA